CGCCGCCGGGCACCACGGGGCUCGUAGUCCGGGCUGGGGCCCCGCCAGGGGAACGCGGAGGAAGGAGGAGGAGGGCAGCAGAGGUGAACACCGAUGAGCACACAGAGUUCCAGAUGCUGAUCCUCAGAGAAUCCACAUGUGACAGAAAGGAUGGAUAAUCUUUUGGCUCAGCUCCAGCCUGGUGGAGCCUGCAUGUGGUUGUUUCAGGCUAAUGUACAAAAAGGACCAGAAAGAUUGUUAUUGAGCCUUCCACAAAGCUGAAAUAAUGCUGUGUGUUAAAAAAAUCUUAACAAUUUGAAGAAGUUAUAAAAAUUUAUAAGUUGACUGAAUACUUUGGAAAUUUCUGCAUAUUUUAAUAUAAAUAGGUGCUGGCAGCAUGUGGAGCUGAGAGCAGUGUAAGCCCAAAGGACUAGGACACCAGAGGAGGUCACCAGGAGCUGUCGUGCCUGAUAAGCCCUCCGGAAAAGAGAAAGGGAGAAUGAUUGAUUGCUUGAUUGAUUGAUGCAAGCCUCUGUAGUGUUUAGCCUCUGGACCAGCUCUCUUGUUCUGCAGCACAGAUUCAUCCCCUUUCGCUGCAGCUCCUGGUCACCCCAUCCAGCACGAAUGAAAAGGUUGCACAGCAUUCAGCCUCACUGCAGCUCCCAGGGAAAGAGCCCAGGCCUUGUGUGGUUCAAGCUGCUCACCCCAACCUGCUGAAGACCAAAUUCCCAUCCUGAGGACCCUGAUGAAGCUGUGACCAUACCAGCUGCUUCCUCUUGGCUCCUGGGAAAGGCCUCUGGCUGCCUGUUUUGCUGUGUGUAAAAGCAUCUUUCAGCCAAGAAAGUAUUCCUUUAGCAAGGAAGAUAUGACAGGUUGUGAUAUUGGACUGCAGUGAAGUUCCACCUGUGCUAUUCUACCCUUCACGAGUGAGCAGUGCUGGGCCAUGCAGCUGGCAAGCUCAUGCCCUUUUGGGGAGGUGUGAAGAACACUUGUCCAUUCAUAACUGAAACUAUUCAAGAUGCACAGGCCUGAAAGGCCACUAUAAGUUUCUUUGCACUCUGGUGUGGUAAAAGUCUUGUCUCCUAGCAAACAUUAUGGAUGAAAGCUUUUGUCACAAGGAGAGAUGGUAAAUUUGUAUACUCAACUUCUAUUUGGAAGAAUAUUUUGAUGUGAAACCUUUGUUAUUCCAGAGGCUUGAGCCAACUGCUUUUGAUCUGGGAGCUUACAGAAUGGGAGUAGGUUGAAUCAAGCCUCUGUCAAGAACCACUGCUGAAAUACUGAAUUAACAUACCCAAGACCAGCACAUCAGGAGUAUAGUCUCCUACCAAGAAUAGUGUGGAGAUAAACCUUGCUCACAGAAGCUCUGGAAGCACUGUGAGACUCGGAUCGACACGGUGCAUCCUCAGAAGGCAGGGAUGUUUCUGCUGUCUGAGCACUGCACACUCUAUGUUCAUAACUGAUGGAAAUAAUGCCCGGUUUUGGGGGAGCUUGGUGGUAUGAGAGACAGUCACAGCAGCUCUAAUAGGGUGGCUUAUCGCUUUCUUGUGGAGCCAGGUACAGCUUCUGUCCUCUUUCGCACCCACAAAUCUGGUAUAAUGUUAAUUAGAUUGUCAUUAGGUUUCAUUAGUGAAGCUCCAUGAAACAAACAAAGGAAACAUUCUAUAGUCAUGCUGAAACUUGGUAUGUCAUUUAUACAAAGUGGGUGAGCAGAGAUCAGCAGCUAUGAAACACUGCUUUUCUAGAAAUAUGAAAUAUUUAGGUAAAAUAUCUAGGUAAAAUCUAACAAAAAUUUGAUUACUGCAUGAUAAAAUGGUGCCUCUUCCCUUCUAAAUAGGUUUGAUCAUCUCCUUAAUGCAAGCCCUGCACCUUCACCUAGAUUCCUUCCCAGGCAGCUAUAGUGGAUCUGCUCACCAAGAGAAUUUGUCCCACUGGAUUCCUUUUUUUUUCUGUGCAGUUGAAUGAAAAGCGUGUCUCUUUUGAAGAACAGCAACUGAAAGAAAUAUUGAUGACUGCCAGGGCAUCUACAGAAAAGGAUAAGAAAAUUACUCUACUACAACAGUGAAGACAAAGGGGCUUUGUUAACUCUUUCUAAAAAAAGAGAACAACACUCCUACUUGUUACUUCUGUGAUGAAAAUGGCAGGACAGCUAUAGAUCUGCAGCAAACUCCAAGCUGUGUGGCAGCUACAGGCUUUGCACAGAUUCCAGAAGACUGUAUUGAAUGUUGAGAAAUGGAACAUGACUGAAGCAGAGAUUUACGCUAUGGCCGCUUUCAGAAGGUCCAUGAGCUUUCAGCAAUGCCCUACACAAACACAACACAAAUGCUAACGUGUUUCUUGAGAUAAUGCUUCACCAGUGUAAUGUUAAUUUCUGAACUUGUAUCAUUACUGAAAACACUUGGAAAAAAAAUCUUUUUCUGUAAGUUUUCUGCUGAUGAUUUUAGCUGAAUCUGCUUUACCAUACAAACACGUUCUUAUUACACACUCUGUGGAAGUAAAGCACUCCGUAAUAACAAAAAAAUAGCAGGACACAAGGGGAUAUCAUACUGUCCUUUCCUUCUUCCUUUCAUUUGAUCUUUCUGCCAUCUUGGUAGGAGGUCUCCUUUUUAUGUGUAUUUCUUAGUACUUAGGAACUGAACGUAACUUCUGUCUGUUUAUGGGUUUUGCAGCUUUUGGAAGAUGACACUUUCCGGCUGCACUGAAUCCUUUGCUAUUCUGUGUGAAUGGUGUACAGAGUGUUGGAGUGUAUAUAUUAUUUUUCACCAGAAAUAAGUUCUAUUUCAUGAAAGUGGAGAAUUACAGAGAAAAUUUGCUGACUACUAGUGCAACUUAGGCAGAUGUGUAACAGGACAGUACCAUGAUUAUGUGCUUUGAAAUAUUUAAUUUUCUCUCUAUAACCCUCUUCUUAACUCUGCUAAAAUUCAGCCUGUCAGUGUUGGUACUCUGUCUUGUUGUUAGCCCUUCCAAGUGUGUUUGGUAAACUGCUGAGCUGAAUUCAUUUAGGAGGGUGGACACAAUGCUGGUGUCAUUGCAGUCUGUGAUAGAAUGAAAAUUGCUUUUGGAGCAGAAUGCUCAGUGUUUCUAUGGAGGCCCCUGUGGAAUCAGGAGUGGGCAGAUGCUCUAGUGGGCAUGUACCCUACAUCAUGCUUUAGGGAUGCUCACAUAGAUGAGGCUGCCAUAGUGUGAGGGUUACUGCUACAGGCAGCAGUCCCCUCCAGUGCUGUGAGCCCUGCUUUGUUUGGAAAGAGGUAGAAGAGAGGAGAUGGAGAUGCAGAAUCUGCCAUUCACUCCCAGGCUUUCCUGUCUUCAAGGAGCCAUCAGAGCAUCAUACACAUUACUUUCAGGUAUUGCCAGUACACCAACCUUAGAGAGGGUGGGUGUCUCAUUUGAAACACACCACUUUCUCUUUUCAAAGAUCUCUCUCCAAGACUUGUGAACUCUAUGCUUCUGUCCUCACCAAGGAACUGCAGAAAUACCCAACUGUGCAACCCCCUUUUCCUCUCCAUAUUCUUGGGAGAAUGAUGGACAAGAAAUUCCAAUAAAGCUGCUCUUGUGCUUAGGAAGUCAGGCUGUAGCUGUCCGGAUGUAUCUGUGAGACCAAAGUGCUAAAUGAAGAGUCACACUCCUGGGACUUCUGUUUCUCCCUGUUAACCUUUCAGCCUGGUAAACUUAUACUUGGAAGAGCCCUGCUUUUUCACUGGGAGACUGUGGUGUGCAGAAUGGAAACUUUUAAAUGUUAGAAUAGUCAUUCCACAGACUUUCACUGAGCUAUGAAUCGUUUCCCUAAGUCAAGAGGCUUCUCCCAAUUCUUCUCUCUCUCCCCCAGCACAACAGAACUAUUUGCUUCAGUAAAUCCCUUGACUGCAUUGUCUGUUGUGUGGCCCCUACUGCACCACACCCAAACUGUUCAAGAUCUUACAUGAGUAUUCUUCAUGCUGCUUACAACAGUUAGAGAAGUGAUACUUACGGAGAAAAUAUUAAAGCAACUGAGGCUUAUAGAGCACACUGAAGGAGCAUUGCCAGCGCUGUCCUGGACCCCCAGAUGGGAUGUCCUAGAAGCUGCAGCUGCUUUCCCAUCUUACCUUAACUCUCUGAACAAGGGUGGAGAGGAAGCAAGAAGAGAGAGACAUUUCCACAGCGAUUGCAACAUGUAGUGAUAGGCAAAUUCCCUCUCCCUGCCCUGUGACAAGCAUGGUGUAGGUCAUAAAGUGCUGCAAUCCUUAUCGGGGCUUUUCAGGCCGUUUUUAAAAAUAAUUUCAUCUUUGCUGUCACGUCUUCCUCCCUCGCUGAACAGGGACUGACUAAUUAGCAGUGGUUCAGUGGCAGAUGCUAUUGUGAAAAGGGUUUGAUGGUGAUCUAACUGGAAAUAAAAUUGUCUUAAAGGUCCAGGCAGACAUUUUCUAACUUCUCUGUGAUACAGGCUCUGUUGGCUGGUGCAUGAAACCAGCCCACACGGUCAUGAAGGAUGAACCCUUUUGCAUGCAAAUGGCUGGUCCUCUUCCAAGAUGAUACCUGUGGCCUGCUAGUUGCAUCCUGCACUAGUCCUCACUGGUGUAUUAAAAGCAACAAUGGUCUUGACUGAUCUACCUACUCACAUUUUCUACCAGGAGAAUAAAAUGCCAGAGUUGAUGGUAGUUAGUUACCUGUGUCACUCCUCUAAACACAGUUAGAAGCAAUGAACAUUGGUUGUUUUCUUCUCAGUCUGAAAUCACAUUAACAUUAGUCAUGUAAAAAGCUAUACUGUUUUGAAAUAAAUAUUUAUCAACAUA